rnacentral:rRNA from 1 species
GACUACUCCCUACGGACCGCGUUAUAGUAAGUACGUUUUCACCCUCGGGUGACAGGGAGACAGGUGGUGCAUGGUUGUCGUCAGCUCGUGUCGUGAGAUGUUGGGUUAAGUCCCGCAACGAGCGCAACCCCUACGUUUAGUUGCUAACGCGUGAAGGCGAGCACUCUAGACGAACUGCCGUUGACAAAACGGAGGAAGGUGGGGAUGACGUCAAAUCAUCAUGCCCCUUAUGUUCUGGGCUACACACGUGCUACAAUGGCCGGUACAGACGGACGCAAAGCCGCGAGGUGGAGCAAAUCCUAAAAGCCGGUCUCAGUUCGGAUUGUAGGCUGCAACUCGCCUACAUGAAGUCGGAAUCGCUAGUAAUCGCGGAUCAGCACGCCGCGGUGAAUACGUUCCCGGGCCUU